rnacentral:rRNA from 1 species
GACGAACGCUGGCGGCGCGCUUAACACAUGCAAGUCGAACGAAGUGGCGAACGGGUGAGUACUACGUGAGUAACCUGCCCUCCUUUUUGGGAUAAGCCUUGGAAACGGGGUCUAAUACCGAAUAAAGGGGGAUGGGCUCGCGGCCUAUCAGCUUGUUGGUGGGGUGAUGGCCUACCAAGGCGGUGACGGGUAGCCGGCCUGAGAGGGUGACCGGCCACAUUGGGACUGAGUGACGGCCCAGACGCCGACGGGAGGCAGCAGUGGUGGGUAUUGCACAAUGGGCGAAAGCCUGAUGCAGCGACGCCGGGUGGGGGAUGAAGGCUUUGGGGUUGUAAACCUCUUUCGAUAUCGAAAGGGUAGAUAAAGAAGAGGCACCGGCUAACUACGUGCCAGCAGCCGCGGUAAUUC